GUGCGAUGAUGCAUUUUACUCAUCAACACAUCAUUCUGAAAGGACAGGUGUGUGGAAAACUAAUGACUGAGCACA
ensembl:snoRNA SNORD63 Small nucleolar RNA SNORD63